AGCAGCCGCGGUAAUUCCAGCUCCAAUAGCGUAUAUUAAAGUUGUUGCAGUUAAAAAGCUCGUAGUUGAAUUUCGGAAUCUGUCCGUUGGUCGGGCUUAACUGUCCGUACUGAUGUGAUGGGUUCUUACCUUCUGAAUAACCAUCAUGCCAUUAAUUUGGUGUGUUGGGGAAGCAGGACUAUUACCUUGAAAAAUUAGAGUGCUCAAAGCAGGCUAGCGCCUGAAUACAUUAGCAUGGAAUAAUAAAAUAGGACGGCAUGGUUCUAUUUUGUUGGUUUCUAGGAUCACCGUAAUGAUUAAUAGGGAUAGUUGGGGGCAUUAGUAUUCAAUUGUCAGAGGUGAAAUUCUUGGAUUUAUUGAAGACUAACUUCUGCGAAAGCAUUU
rnacentral:rRNA from 1 species